UUUUUAGAGUUUUUUUUUUCUCGCUCAGGACGAACGCUGGCGGCGUGCCUAAUACAUGCAAGUCGAACGAACUCUGGUAUUGAUUGGUGCUUGCAUCAUGAUUUACAUUUGAGUGAGUGGCGAACUGGUGAGUAACACGUGGGAAACCUGCCCAGAAGCGGGGGAUAACACCUGGAAACAGAUGCUAAUACCGCAUAACAACUUGGACCGCAUGGUCCGAGCUUGAAAGAUGGCUUCGGCUAUCACUUUUGGAUGGUCCCGCGGCGUAUUAGCUAGAUGGUGGGGUAACGGCUCACCAUGGCAAUGAUACGUAGCCGACCUGAGAGGGUAAUCGGCCACAUUGGGACUGAGACACGGCCCAAACUCCUACGGGAGGCAGCAGUAGGGAAUCUUCCACAAUGGACGAAAGUCUGAUGGAGCAACGCCGCGUGAGUGAAGAAGGGUUUCGGCUCGUAAAACUCUGUUGUUAAAGAAGAACAUAUCUGAGAGUAACUGUUCAGGUAUUGACGGUAUUUAACCAGAAAGCCACGGCUAACUACGUGCCAGCAGCCGCGGUAAUACGUAGGUGGCAAGCGUUGUCCGGAUUUAUUGGGCGUAAAGCGAGCGCAGGCGGUUUUUUAAGUCUGAUGUGAAAGCCUUCGGCUCAACCGAAGAAGUGCAUCGGAAACUGGGAAACUUGAGUGCAGAAGAGGACAGUGGAACUCCAUGUGUAGCGGUGAAAUGCGUAGAUAUAUGGAAGAACACCAGUGGCGAAGGCGGCUGUCUGGUCUGUAACUGACGCUGAGGCUCGAAAGUAUGGGUAGCAAACAGGAUUAGAUACCCUGGUAGUCCAUACCGUAAACGAUGAAUGCUAAGUGUUGGAGGGUUUCCGCCCUUCAGUGCUGCAGCUAACGCAUAAGCAUCCGCCUGGAUACGCCACCG
rnacentral:rRNA from 1 species